rnacentral:miRNA from 1 species
GAAAUUGAAACUGGCUAGGGAAAAUGAUUGGAUGAGAAAUAUAUUAUUUUCUAUUCAUUUAUCCUAGCCUACAAAAUGAAAAAA